rnacentral:lncRNA from 1 species
CAACUAGAACACGGGUGUUAAAAUAUGGAAAGCUCGCCCAGUUUCCAAAUAGAAGGGCAGGGUUCCAUGAAAUCCUGGAAGAUGGGUGAUGGUGUUCAGAGCCAAGACAGGAGAAGGACAUGAGAAAAUUGUUAGCAGCGGCACAAAAAGUAUAGAAAGUGCCGCUAAGGAAGAGGAGAGCUUUGUUGCUUCCUUAGCGACCAUCAUUCUUUUGUCCCCGCAAAUUAAAGAUCAAUAGCAUUCG